AAUUUUCAAAGUCUUAUUUUGUUACAUUGAUAUCACCUCCCUUUAAAUGAGAUCACCUCAAUUGAAACAGCUAUAAUAGUCGUAAAUGUUGAGAAAUAGAAGUGUCUACGCAACAAAAGGAAGAUAUUAGAGAGGGCGUGGGACCAAUACUGUGUCAAUAUCAGCGGAAGCUUGCGUAAUACUGCAUUCUGAAAGUUUGGUCAUCCACUGGGAAAAGAAGAGAUACGUGUCUUUCUUGUGUCAUGGAGUUGAAGGCUUGAAGCUGCAACGACCGCUCCUCUUUGCAAUGGCUGCCCCUUCUCUACACGUAGGGAGCACCAGGGGAAACUUGUUCACUUAAAAUAUGGCGCUCUCAGCCUCACCUCAUUUUUGGAAAUGACAAC
rnacentral:lncRNA from 1 species